ensembl:lncRNA glucagon receptor
CUACGGUCCACGCAGACAAGCCGCGCGCGACACGUCCUCCGCCGUCGGGCGUCUGUGUGCGCGCGCGCCCCCGCCGCCGCUGGAUGGUCCGGCCGCGAGUCUCGGGGACGGGAAGCUUCAUUUAGCGCGGUUUGUCGGAAGAUGUCCAACUCUGGAUCGAGAACAGGAGUCACGAGUGGAGCUGCGAGUCUGAGCAGUGGCAGUUACUGUUGGAAUCCAAAGGGCAAGUUUCUUCUGGAUCAAUAUUCCAGUGAUCAACUGGGACUGUACACACUGAUGUCACUGACUGUGAGGCGCAGUGUUGAGCCCAGGUAGAACCUCCUAUGAUUCGAGACCAUCUCCCCCCCUUCCAGCAGCAGCUGCAGGACUAAGGGAUGACACACACCUUGCUCCUCCUGACCCUGCUCACGCUCUCCUCUAGCAUCCAGGUGUCUCCUGCUAAAACCCUCAAGAACGUUGUGGCGAAAUGGACCAUGUAUAAGGACGAGUGCAGCCGCAACAUCAGCAGAGAACCUCUGCUCACUGGUUUGGUCUGUAACAGGACAUUUGACAGGUAUGCCUGUUGGCCUGAUGGGCUGCCCAACACCACUGUCAGUGUGCCCUGUCCCUGGUACCUGCCGUGGUAUCACCAAGUCCGGCAAGGAUUUGUGUAUCAAGAAUGUGAUGCCAACGGCCAGUGGGUGUCCAUUAGGAACACAAGCGAGUGUGAACCGAAGGACCAAACGCAAGACACCUCGCAGUAUGGAAGGAUCCUCAACAUGUUUCGGGCUGUGUACACCGUGGGCUACUCUCUCUCGCUGGGGGCGUUGGUGCUGGCACUGGGCAUCCUGGUGGCAUUCAGGAAGCUGCACUGUAUGAGGAACAACAUUCACAUGAACCUGUUUGCCUCUUUCAUCCUGCGAGCGCUGGCAAUCCUCAUCAAAGAUGCCCUGCUGGAGACCCCCACCAUUGGCCAGGACAUCUCCACUGACUAUGAAGUAGAGUUACUAGUCAAUAAUGAGACAGCCAUUGGGUGUCGCGUUGCCGUAGUGAUGAUGCAGUACAGCAUAAUUGCCAAUAGUUACUGGCUGCUCGUGGAGGGAAUCUACCUGCAUAACCUGCUGGUCGUCACAGUUCUGACGGAAAAGAACUACUUCAGCAUAUACCUGUGCAUUGGCUGGGGUGAGAUCAUUUUCUCAUCAAGUUACCCGAUUUCAUGUUCAUUUAGGUGCUGGGAGCAAAACAUAAACCUGAAAUACUGGUGGAUCAUCCGCUCACCUAUACUGCUGGCAGUUCUGAUUAACUUCUUCAUCUUCUUGCACAUUGUGAAGAUACUUGUGUCCAAGCUGAGAGCUCAUCAAAUGAGAUACUCAGACUACAAGUUCAGACUGGCCAAGUCCACCCUCACCCUCAUCCCUCUGCUUGGUAUUCAUUUGGUCCUCUUUUCCUUCGUCACGGACGAGUCUACCUCAAAUGGCGCUGUAGCUCUGCGCCUCACUAAGCUCUUCAUUGACCUCUUCUUCAAUUCUUUCCAGGGUCUCCUUGUGGCUAUUUUAUACUGCUUCGUCAACAAAGAGGUUCAGUCUGAGAUCUUGAAGAAGUGGAAACGCUGGAAGCUGGGCAGGAAUAUAGAGGAAGAGUACCGUCACACAUACAGCCACACCGCUCACGUCAGGGGUGGCAGCAUUUUGGAGAAACAAGCUCUGGUGGCUGGCUGCCAGAACGGAAUGGGCCGAAAACAGGCAGGCUGCUGCUUCAUCACCACGCCACGAGAGGGUGCCACCAACUGCAGCCUGCUAUCUGAGAACAUCUUACUGAUGGACAAGGUGCAAGGUUAUGAGACCCCGCGGGGGAGCGCGAGUGCGGAGAGUACACACUGA